rnacentral:rRNA from 1 species
AUUGAACGCUGGCGGCAGGCCUAACACAUGCAAGUCUAGCGAGCGGCGGACGGGUGAGUAAUGUAUGGGGACUGCCCGAUAGAGGGGGAUAACUACUGGAAACUGUGGCUAAUACCGCAUCCUGUCGGUUCACCCCUAUGGGAUUAGCUAGUAGUGAAGGUAAUGGCUUACCUAGGCGACGAUCCCUCGCUGGUCUGAGAGGAUGAUCAGCCACAAUGGGACUGAGACACGGCCCAGACUCCUACGGAGGCAGCAGUGGGGAAUAUUGCACAAUGGGCGCAAGCCUGAUGCAGCCAUGCCGCGUGUAUGAAGAAGGCCCUAGGGUUGUAAAGUACUUUCAGUCGGGAGGCGUUACCGACAGAAGAAGCACCGGCUAACUCCGUGCCAGCCGCCGCGGUAAUAC